UACGAAGGGGGCUAGCGUUGCUCGGAAUCACUGGGCGUAAAGCGCACGUAGGCGGCUUCUUAAGUCAGGGGUGAAAUCCUGGAGCUCAACUCCAGAACUGCCUUUGAUACUGAGGAGCUUGAGUCCGGGAGAGGUGAGUGGAACUGCGAGUGUAGAGGUGAAAUUCGUAGAUAUUCGCAAGAACACCAGUGGCGAAGGCGGCUCACUGGCCCGGUACUGACGCUGAGGUACGAAAGCGUGGGGAUCAAACAGG
rnacentral:rRNA from 1 species